UACGUAGGGUGCAAGCGUUGUCCGGAAUUAUUGGGCGUAAAGAGCUCGUAGGCGGUUUGUCGCGUCGGCUGUGAAAACUCGGGGCUCAACCCCGAGCCUGCAGUCGAUACGGGCAGACUAGAGUGCUGUAGGGGAGACUGGAAUUCCUGGUGUAGCGGUGAAAUGCGCAGAUAUCAGGAGGAACACCGGUGGCGAAGGCGGGUCUCUGGGCCGUAACUGACGCUGAGGAGCGAAAGCAUGGGGGAGCGAACAGG
rnacentral:rRNA from 1 species